rnacentral:lncRNA from 1 species
GUCCUGGGGGUCCAUCAGAGGCUGUGACAAGAGAGUCUAGCCUGAUGAUGUGCCUUUCUAAAGGGCGAGGGCUUCUGGAGGCAGGAGGGAGAAUGGUUGGGGGGUGACAAUGAGGAGCAAGGAAGUCACCCACCUCCCCUUCAGGCCCCUUGGUACAAGGGUAGUGGGACAGAAAACAAACCCAACCCAAGACGGCUACAGUGGAAGCUUGCUCUCGGAAAGGAGCCAGGUUUUGGUUAAAGGGAGAAUAGGAAAGGAAUAUUUAAAGAAGCUGAUGAUAUUUACUUUCUAUGCCCAGCACUCAGCUGGACACUGAGACAGUGAACAAAAGAGUGAAAUAUCCUCCCUCCUGGGCCUUAUGUUCCACCUGGUGAGACAGAGUAAACAAGAUUGAAAAAGUCAAAUAUAUAGUCUAUUAGAUAGUGCUAAAUAUUAGGGGAAAAAAUAAAGCAGUGAAGAAAGAUCGAAGUGUCAGUAAUUGGGAGUUAAAACUAUAAUAGUUAGCUAAGACAGGCUCCCUGAGAAGAAGACAUUGAGUAAAGGCCUGAAGGAAAUUGGAAAGCUGACCAGAGACCUGGGGGUAAGAAGAACAGCAACUGCAAAGGCCCUGAGGUGACAGCAUGCCCACGAUGUCUGAGGAAGAGCGAGGAGGUGAUACUGAUGCUAAUGCUGCUGGUCGGGGACCAGUUUUGAGAACCACAGGAGAAGUGCAUUACAGUCAGUUUGCCCCGCAGAAUGGAGCACCCAUUUGUGCCUCAUGAUGGUGAAUUCACUGAAGGCCGCCAGCAUGGCUGUGUUUUUGUCUCUGUCAUGCUCAGCUGCACUGGAACCGGCACAGAGCAGGCAGGAACGACCAUGGAGAGAGGUCUGGCAUGACAAGGGGAACAAGGAGGAGCCCACCCCACCUCCAGGCCUGGAGCAGAGAAGCAGGAGUGAGCAGAGCCAUCACUUAGGGAGCCGCUGGGAAGCUGAGCUCUCAGGGAGAGUCAGGGUCCGUUCCCUCUGUAGUUCUCCACCCUAGCCUCAAAUGAGAAACACCUGGGGAAUUUGGAGACCACACCGGAGCCUGGACCCCACUAUCUGAGGUUUGAAUUUCAUUAGUCUGGUGAGGAGCCUGGACUUGGGUGUGUUCUUAAGCCCCUGACGUGAUUUGACUGUGCAGCUCGGGAGGGAGAGGGAGACGGUGAAGGGGACGCUGACAGGAGUCCAAGGAUGUGGGGGACUUUGCCGGUGAUUGGCCUGGGGUCCAGAGGGAAAAUGGCAGGCUUCAGGACAUGGGACCAGACUAGGGGAGGAUGGUGGGCAUGAGGAUGAAGUCUGGGGGAGUGGGGAGACCUGGCAGACCUGGGCUGAAAGAGGGGUCAAGUGCCUGCCUGUGGUCUCAAGGCACAUCGUGGUGGUGAGGCUCGGAGUGUUGGGUGUUGGGGAGAGGGAGGGAUGGGGUCUCGCCUGGAGCACAGAGAGGGCAGUGGCCCCUCUUUACCUGGCAGUGGCAGAGGCUGGAAGAGGGGGAGGGGAUCCGAGUGGAACACCUUGAAUUUGAGGCUCCGCCCUGGCUCCUAGCUUCCUCUUCUCCGCGUCCGAUCCGUCAGCAAGUCAGUAGGCUCUGCAGAGACUGAGACAAAGGUCUGGGUGCAGGUAGCUUAUUUGGAAGGUGUUGCCAGAAGGUGGGGGUGAGGAGGCACCGAGAGUGAGAUGGGGAGGGCACAAAGUCCAUGUAAGGGUGUUGUCAGCCUCACUGCUGUAGGGGAGGGGCUGCAUCCCACAGGACCUCUGGGAAGCAUUCAGAAUACCUGGCGGGGUUGUCUUGCCAAAGAUGGGAGGCCGAAGCCUUUAUCCACUGGCUCCCAUCCCCACUGGUGGAGGCUGCUUCUGGGGCGUCAGUUCCCUGACCACCAGCCUGUGCUUGCCUGAGGGCCAAGGUAGUUCCAGCUGCAAGGCUGCACUGGAGAAGGCUCUGGAGCCAGAGGCAAGUCAGCACUUUUCAAGACAGCCGUGGCUAAACUCAGAGGUGGGCGAGAGGCUGC